rnacentral:rRNA from 1 species
GUGGGGAAUAUUGCGCAAUGGGGGAAACCCUGACGCAGCAACGCCGCGUGUGUGAUGAAGGCCUUCGGGUCGUAAAGCACUGUGAGGUGGAACGAGCCGCCGGGGGCUAAUACCCUUCGGCCCGACGGUACCACCAGAGGAAGCACCGGCUAACCCUGUGCCAGCAGCCGCGGUAAUACAGGGGGUGCAAGCGUUGUUCGGAAUUAUUGGGCGUAAAGCGCGUGUAGGCGGACCAUUAAGUCUGGUGUGAAAUCCCUCGGCUUAACCGAGGACGUGCAUUGGAUACUGGUGGUCUUGAGUCCUGGAGAGGGUAGCGGAAUUCCCAGUGUAGAGGUGAAAUUCGUAGAUAUUGGGAGGAACACCGGUGGCGAAGGCGGCUACCUGGACAGUGACUGACGCUGAGACGCGAAAGCAUGGGUAGCAAACAGGAUUAGAAACCCUAGUAGUCC